UGUUAUCAUGGACGGCGCAUAUAAACGCAAACUACACAAAAGUGACAUGGACAAGAACAGCGCAAGCCCUUUCCAUGCAGUGGAGCCGCCGUAUCUCGCCGUUCAAGAUAUGCGUACUCGUAAGUGGCAUUUUAAUUUCAUGUUGUGUAAUGCAUGAAUGUCUUUUUCAAGUGAACAAAACUCGCUUUGUAUUGCGUAAAUGGUUUUGCAACGUAUGAUAAAGUCCUUGUUUUUUGUGUUUAUUUUUUCUGACAGGAAGAAAAACAAAAGAGGCUUUAUAUGAGAACGGAUCAAGCGUUCGAGAGUUGGGACAGGGAAAUGUGAGACGUACUUUCAUGUAUAUAUUUCUAAUAUUAUUUUUUCGUCUUGUAUUUUCCUUAAUUUUUCUCUAGGAAACACUGGAACGACACUGCUUAAAUUGUAGCACAGUGUGCGAAUGACCUGCUACGCUCGGAACUGUUAUCACCAUUCGGGAAGAAAUCAGAUACGGAGGAACGGACACCGGUCAUGCCGUGCGCACUCUUCUGCAGGGCAUACUUACAAAUGAAGCUGCACUGCAGUUCAGCUGGAAAGGGUCGCAGGGGAGGAAGCACGCCUUCGUGAAGCUCACGGCCAUCACGAAUCUCAUUCUAACAUCUGUGAGGAGCACCUUCCCAGGCGCUUCACUGGCAUCAGUGGCAGGAGUCACGAAACGUUG
rnacentral:lncRNA from 1 species